UCUGAAUGAAAAAACUAACAAAGCAUUGACUAAGUGUAACUAAUAAAAGUCUCUGUCAUGGUCUUCACCCUCAGGUUCAAAGUGACGCUGGAACACUGGAACCAGGAAGAUCAUUAACUCUACCCUUCACAGUGUCGACCAGCGGAUCUGGAGGAGUUUUUAAUAUCAGAGUCAGUAAUGACCGAAGUUUCCUAAUGGCUGAUUUUCCAUCAACCCUGACUCUGGAGACUGGGGGCAGUGUGAAUGAUACAGUAACUCUGACUGCACCUGGAAACACCCCCUCAGGAACUGACGUCACGCUGACUAUCGAAGCUGAAGCACCACGAGCAACAGAUUUCAACUACGCAGUGCUGAGGAUUUCUGUAGUCACUCCGGUAACAGACAUUACUCCUCCAGUGUGUGAGAUAGUUAGCGUUAAUGCUAACUGCUCAGGGAACUGCAGCCUCUCGUGGUGGGAUUUCUCCGCUAACAUCACUGACAGAAACGGUUCAGGUAUUCAGCGCGUGGAGGUGAGCCAAGGUCUCGG
rnacentral:lncRNA from 1 species